UACGGAGGAUCCAAGCGUUAUCCGGAUUUAUUGGGUUUAAAGGGUGCGUAGGUGGAAUGAUAAGUCAGAGGUGAAAGCUAGCAGCUUAACUGUUAAAUUGCCUUUGAUACUGUUAUUCUUGAGUGUAGUUGGCGUUGGCGGAAUGUGACAUGUAGCGGUGAAAUGCGUAGAUAUGUCACAGAACACCGAUCGCGAAGGCAGCUAACGAAGCUAUCACUGACACUGAUGCACGAAAGCGUGGGGAGCAAACAGG
rnacentral:rRNA from 1 species